GAUGAACGCUGGCGGCGUGCUUAACACAUGCAAGUCGAACGGUGAAGCAGGAGCUUGCUCUUGUGGAUCAGUGGCGAACGGGUGAGUAACACGUGAGCAACCUGCCCCUGACUCUGGGAUAAGCGCUGGAAACGGCGUCUAAUACUGGAUAUGUGAUGUCACCGCAUGGGCUGCCUCUGGAAAGACGUGCGGUUGGGGAUGGGCUCGCGGCCUAUCAGCUUGUUGGGGGGGUAAGGGAUCAGCAAGGCGUCGACGGGUAGCCGGCCUGAGAGGGUGACCGGCCACACUGGGACUGAGACACGGCCCAGACUCCUACGGGAGGCAGCAGUGGGGAAUAUUGCACAAUGGGCGGAAGCCUGAUGCAGCAACGCCGCGUGAGGGAUGACGGCCUUCGGGUUGUAAACCUCUUUUAGCAGGGAAGAAGCGAAAGUGACGGUACCUGCAGAAAAAGCACCGGCUAACUACGUGCCAGCAGCCGCAGUAA
rnacentral:rRNA from 1 species